AGAGUUUGAUCCUGGCUCAGGAUGAACGCUAGCUACGGGCUUAACACAUGCAAGUCGAACGGAUUCUGGAUUCGUCUGGAAUUAGUGGCAAACGGGUGAGUAACACGUAUCCAACCACCCUGCGACUCGGGGAUAGCCUCUGNAAAGGGAGAUUAAUAUCCGAUGUACUGUUUUUGGUGCAUGCCAUUUUCAGUAAAGUUUUUUUUACGGUCGCUGACGGGGAUGCGUUCCAUUAGAUAGUCGGUGUGGUAACGGCUCACCGAGUCUAUGAUGGAUAGGGGUUCUGAGAGGAAGGUCCCCCACAUUGGAACUGAGACACGGUCCAGACUCCUACGGGAGGCAGCAGUGAGGAAUAUUGGUCAAUGGACGCAAGUCUGAACCAGCCAUGUCGCGUGCAGGAUGACUGCCCUAUGGGUUGUAAACUGCUUUUAUAUUGGAAGAAUUGCGCUUACGAGUUAAGCGUUUGACGGUACAUUAUGAAUAAGGAUCGGCUAACUCCGUGCCAGCAGCCGCGGUAAUACGGAGGAUCCGAGCGUUAUCCGGAUUUAUUGGGUUUAAAGGGUGCGUAGGCGGAAAUGUAAGUCAGUGGUGAAAUCCUGCAGCUUAACUGUAGAAUAGCCGUUGAAACUGUGUUUCUUGAGUACAUUUGAGGUAGGCGGAAUGUGGUGUGUAGCGGUGAAAUGCAUAGAUAUACCACAGAACACCGAUUGCGAAGGCAGCUUACUAAACUGUCACUGACGCUGAUGCACGAAAGCGUGGGGAUCAAACAGGAUUAGAUACCCUGGUAGUCCACACUGUAAACGAUGAAUAACUCGCUGUCGGGCGAUACACAGUCGGUGGGCAAGCGAAAGCAUUAAGUUUAUCCACCUGGGGAGUACGACCGCAAGGUUGAAACUCAAAGGAAUUGACGGGGGCCCGCACAAGCGGAGGAACAUGUGGUUUAAUUCGAUGAUACGCGAGGAACCUUACCCGGGCUCGAACGGUGCAUGAAUAUACGAGAGAUUGUAUAGUCCUUCGGGACAUGUAUCGAGGUGCUGCAUGGUUGUCGUCAGCUCGUGCCGUGAGGUGUCGGCUUAAGUGCCAUAACGAGCGCAACCCUCGUCAUUAGUUGCCAUCAGGUCAAGCUGGGGACUUUAAUGAGACUGCCACCGUAAGGUGUGAGGAAGGGGGGGAUGACGUCAAAUCAGCACGGCCCUUAUGUCCGGGGCGACACGCGUGUUACAAUGGGAGGUACAGAGGGCAGCUAUCCGGUGACGGAAUGCUAAUCUCCAAAACCUUUCUCAGUUCGGAUUGGAGUCUGCAACUCGACUCCAUGAAGGUGGAUUCGCUAGUAAUCGCGCAUCAGCCAUGGCGCGGUGAAUACGUUCCCGGGCCUUGUACACACCGCCCGUCA
rnacentral:rRNA from 1 species